rnacentral:rRNA from 1 species
CAGUCGCCGCGGGAAUACGAAGGGGGCUAGCGUUGUUCGGAAUCACUGGGCGUAAAGAGCACGUAGGCGGAUCUUUAAGUCAGAGGUGAAAUCCCGAGGCUCAACCUCGGAACUGCCUUUGAUACUGGGGAUCUCGAGUCCGGGAGAGGUGAGUGGAACUGCGAGUGUAGAGGUGAAAUUCGUAGAUAUUCGCAAGAACACCAGUGGCGAAUGCGGCUCACUGGCCCGGAACUGACGCUGAGGUGCGAAAGCGUGGGGAGCAAACAGGAUUAGAUACCCCAGUAGUCCCUGUCUCUUAUAC